rnacentral:lncRNA from 1 species
UUAGUUCAUUUCUGCUUUUACUAGCAUAUUUAUUAAUAUAUUGUUUUAGUAUAUUUUAGACUUCCCUUGGUAUGAUCAAAUUCAUUCUUUACUUAGUUAAGUAUAAAUAAUUAGGAAAUGAGGUUUAUCCAGUCAAUAGGACAAUCAGUUGGCAAAAGUGAUCUUAGAUGGCCUCAAAUGGUUAGCACUCAAAAUUUGGAAUAU